AUACGAAGGGUGCAAGCGUUACUCGGAAUUACUGGGCGUAAAGCGUGCGUAGGUGGUUGUUUAAGUCUGUCGUGAAAGCCCUGGGCUCAACCUGGGAAUGGCGAUGGAAACUGGGCGACUAGAGUGUGGCAGAGGGUAGUGGAAUUCCUGGUGUAGCAGUGAAAUGCGUAGAGAUCAGGAGGAACAUCCGUGGCGAAGGCGACUGCCUGGGCCAACACUGACACUGAGGCACGAAAGCGUGGGGAGCAAACAGGAUUAGAUACCCUGGUAGUCCACGCCCUAAACGAUGCGAACUGGAUGUUGGGCGCAAUUUGGCACGCAGUAUCGAAGCUAACGCGUUAAGUUCGCCGCCUGGGGAGUACGGUCGCAAGACUGAAACUCAAAUGAAUUGACGG
rnacentral:rRNA from 1 species